UACGGAGGGGGCUAGCGUUGUUCGGAAUUACUGGGCGUAAAGCGCACGUAGGCGGCUUUGUAAGUUAGAGGUGAAAGCCCAGGGCUUAACCCUGGAAUUGCCUUUAAGACUGCAUCGCUAGAAUCGUGGAGAGGUAAGUGGAAUUCCUGGUGUAGCGGUGAAAUGCGCAGAUAUCAGGAGGAACACCAAUGGCGAAGGCAGCUCGCUGGGACGGUACUGACGCUGAGACGCGAAAGCGUGGGGAGCAAACAGG
rnacentral:rRNA from 1 species